AUUGAACGCUGGCGGCAGGCCUAACACAUGCAAGUCGAGCGAGCGGCGGACGGGUGAGUAAUGUAUGGGGACUGCCCGCUAGAGGGGGAUAACUACUGGAAACGGUAGCUAAUACCGCAUACUAUCGGAUAACCCAUAUGGGAUUAGAUAGUAGGUGAGGUAAUGGCUCACCUCGGCGACGAUCCCUAGCUGGUCUGAGAGGAUUAUCAGCCACACUGAUAACGAGACACGGCCCAGACUCCUACGGAGGCAGCAGUGGGGAAUAUUGCACAAUGGGCGCAAGCCGUAUGCAGCCAUGCCGCGGGUAGUAAGAAUGCCCUAGGGUUGUAAAGUACUUUCAGUCGGGAGGCGUUACCGACAGAAGAAGCACCGGCUAACUCCGUGCCAGCAGCCGCGGUAAUAC
rnacentral:rRNA from 1 species